GGGCCUAGCUGGGGGAGCGAUGGAGAAAUACGAGCGGAUCCGGGUGGUGGGGAGAGGGGCCUUCGGGUGAGGGCGGCCCCAGAGAGCACCGGGCCUGGCGGAACGGGGGGCCUUGUUAUUCUGUGAGGGGGGGGGGGGAGGGAGCAGCGCCGGGCCUGUGGCACCCCGGGGUGAGGCGCAGGCCCUGUUACCAUGGCGACGGGGUGCCUGGGCCUUGUUGCCGUGGCAACGCGAGGGUCAGCCGCUGUGUGGCACCCUGGGGUGGGGGCCUGGCCUCGGCUGUUGCCGUGGUGACGGGAGGGGGUGCACGAUACCCUCACCCUGGGAUGGUAACAGGCCCAGUUACCAUGGUGACACGGAGAGACGGGGGCUAUGCGUCACCCAGGGGUGGUGGCCGGGCCUCGUCCCUCCCCGCUGAGGCCCUAUCCCUGCAGCAUCGUGCACCUGUGUCUGCGCAAGGCCGACCAGAAGCUGGUCAUCCUGAAGCAGAUCCCCGUGGAGCAGAUGAGCAAGGAUGAGCGGCUGGCAGCGCAGAACGAGUGCCAGGUCCUCAAGCUGCUCAGCCACCCCAACGUCAUCGAGUACUACGAGAACUUCCUGGAGGACAAGGCUCUCAUGAUUGCCAUGGAGUAUGCUCCAGGGGGCACGCUGGCAGAGUUUAUUCAUAAACGCUGUAACUCCUUGUUGGAUGAGGACACCAUCCUACACUUCUUCGUGCAGAUCCUCCUGGCUCUUCACCACGUGCAUACCAAGCAGAUCCUGCACCGUGACCUGAAGACUCAGAACAUCCUCUUGGACAAGCAUCGCAUGAUUGUCAAGAUCGGAGACUUUGGCAUUUCCAAAAUCUUGAGCAGCAAGAGUAAAGCCUACACGGUUGUGGGAACUCCGUGCUAUAUCUCCCCAGAGCUCUGUGAAGGGAAGCCUUACAACCAGAAGAGCGAUAUCUGGGCUUUGGGCUGUGUGCUCUAUGAACUUGCCAGCCUCAAGAGGGCUUUUGAAGCUGCGAAUCUUCCUGCCUUAGUAUUGAAGAUCAUGAGUGGGACGUUUGCCCCAAUAUCAGAUAGAUACAGCCCUGACCUGCGCCAGCUCAUUCUUAGCAUGCUGAACCUGGAUCCUUCCAAGCGGCCUCAGCUGAAUGAGAUUAUGGCCCAGUCCAUCUGCAUCCGCCCCCUUCUGAACCUCUACACUGAUGUAGGAAGUGUUAAAAUGAGAAGGCCUGAAAAGCCCUUGGCUCCGGUGCAAACGGUGACACACAGCCGGACGGGGGGACGAGUGAGCAGUGCCAGGCCCAGGGGUGUUCGAGGUGGCUCGGCCAGGACAGGCAUCCCUCCUCCCCUGUCGUCCAUCUACACCUGGGGCAGUGGGAUCACCACCCCGCUCCGCCUGCCCAUGCUGAACACCGAAGUGGUGCAGGUGUCUGCUGGCAGGACGCAGAAGGCUGGGGUCACCAAAUCAGGGCGGCUCAUCAUGUGGGAGGCUCCCCCGAUGGGCACUGCAGGAGGCCCUUCUCUGCCAGGAGCCACCGAGCAGCUGCAGCCUCAGUUUGUGUCCCGCUUUCUGGAGGGCCAGUCUGGUGUGACCAUCAAACACGUGUCUUGCGGGGAUCUCUUCACUGCCUGCCUCACAGACAGGGGGAUAAUCAUGACUUUCGGCAGUGGCAGUAACGGCUGUUUAGGGCACGGAAACUUCACGGAUGUAAGCCAGCCCAAGAUCGUGGAGGCCCUGCUGGGCUAUGAGAUGGUGCAGGUGGCCUGUGGUGCAUCUCACGUCCUGGCAGUUUCCAAUGAACGGGAGGUGUUUGCCUGGGGCAGGGGGGAUAAUGGUCGGCUUGGGCUGGGUACCCUGGAGUGCCAUAACUCCCCCCAGCAGGUAGCAGUCCCACCAGAGCAUGAGGCUCAGAGGGUCAUCUGCGGCAUCGAUUCCUCCAUGGUCCUCACAGUGAACAACCAGAUUCUUGCUUGUGGGAGCAACAGGUGUAACAAGCUGGGCCUAGAUCGGAUCAGCUCAGCAGAGGAACCUUCCCCAGAGGACCAGGUAGAAGAGGCCACUGUGUUCACUUGUGCCCAGUCAGCCCCCUUGAACCAAGAGCCAGUUGUGUGCGCUGACAUCGGUACAGCACACUCAGCUGCAGUCACAGCUUCUGGCCAGUGUUACACCUUUGGGAGCAACCAACACGGGCAGCUGGGCACCAACUCCUGCCGUAACAGUCGUGUGCCCCACCUGGUUGUGGGGCUCCGGGCCAUGAAGGUCACUGUGGUGGCUUGUGGGGAUGCCUUCACUGUGGCUAUUGGAGCAGAUGGUGAGGUGUGUACCUGGGGGAAAGGAGCCAGGGGACGCUUGGGCAGGAAGGAUGAAGAAACAGGAAUGCCGAGGCCUGUGCAGCUGGAGGAGACACAUCCAUACGUGGUGACCUCUGUAGCCUGCUGCCAUGGGAACACACUGCUGGCUGUAAAGCCUGCCGUGGAAGAGUCCCCAUCCCAGUGAGAGGGAUGGCAUCCAGCCUUGCCAUACAGCUGCAGGCUCUUCCUGCCAUGCCUGUCCUCUUGCUGGACCUCCUCCCCACAUCCUGCUGCACAACAGGGAGCUCCUAAUGAUGCUUCCCCGGAACCAGAGCUGCUCUUGUGGGUCAGCGAGGUUCGCUGUGGCCCCGAAGUGCCUGAGGACUGCUGUGCUGGACUGGAGCUGUGUUCGCUCCUGGUGAAAGCUCGGCGUCGGGGCUUCUCCCUUCUUAGCCUUGUGCUGUUGCUGCAUCCCGGGGCUGGAAACAGCGGGGAGAGGUCAGCAGUUGGUGCUGAUGGAGGAGCGCUGUGCUGCGGUGCUGUGCGCCCCAUUGCCGAGAGCUCUGUGCGUUCUCCUCCAGGAGAAGGUUGAGGGCAGCCACGGGGAGCUGCGUGCAGACACAUCCAUGGGCUGCUCGUUCCCGUGCCCGAUAAGGAAGAAGACCCCAAAACACAGAGCCCACUUUCCACCUCAGCUUUGCACCUCUGAUCUAUGCUAACCCGGGCGGAGGGGAUGCUGCUGGAGGAAGCCCAGCUGGGUUUGGGGACGGAUCUGUCGCCGGGGAUGGGCAACAUAUUGCUUCUACAAAGGCGAGCGCCCUGCCCGGAGGUGGAGUGUCACCGGAGUGCGAGCCAAACGCCCGGCUGCCACAGUGAGUGAGGGGAGGGGGUUCAUUAGGGAGAGGGGGAAAUGAGGGGAUCUUUUGUUUGCAGGGUCUGACGCCUCCGUGCCGUCCUGCUGGCAACCCCAGAGCCUCCUGAUGGCUUUGUCAGCUCCGGGCUAAUUAGGCUGAGGUGCUCUCGAAGCGGGGUUAGGAAAGGAAAGGAUUGGAACAUCAAAGAGAUGGAGCUCAUAAAGCCUGGUGGGGGGAGCAGAACCCCACAGCCCCAUAUAGAGUGUGGUUCUCAGUCCUGCCUCGGGAUCUGGGCAAAGCCAGCUGGGCCAAAGGGCACCCUGUGCUGCCAUGGGGGUUUUACUGUGAGCUCAGUGAGGGACAAGGAGAGGCUGAGCAGUGCCCCAACGGCCCCUCUCUUCCUCCUCCUCCUCCUCCUCCUCCUCCUCCUCCACGUGUGAAUGGAAAUCUGCCAGCACGUGUGGCCGUGCUGCUGCUGCUGCCCACGCAGGGGCUGUGAGGGAUGCACACUGCUGGCAGCCCGUCAGCUGUGCUGCUCAUCUCUGGGGAAAAGGGGCGAACGCUCCCAUAUGCUGCUCAGCAGUGAGAGGGCGAGGAGGGGGCUGGGACAGAUCUGCCUUUAUUCUGCAUCCCACCCCUCCUCACCCCAUUCUGCCUCACCCUAACUGCCUGAUCUCAUCUCCUCCUAUCCCACUGCGUCCCAUACGACCCCAUCCCUUCUCAUCUCACCCCCUCCCACCCCACUCUAUCCUGUAGCAUCUCAUCCCAUCCCACCCCACUCUAUCCUAUAGCGUCUCAUCCCACCCCACUCUAUCCUAUAGCGUCUCAUCCCACCCCACUCUAUCCUAUAGCGUCUCAUCCCACCCCACUCUAUCCUAUAGCGUCUCAUCCCACCCCACUCUAUCCUAUAGCGUCUCAUCCCACCCCACUCUAUCCUAUAGCAUCUCAUCUCAUCCUAUUCCACUCUAUCCUACUCCACUCCAUCCCAUUCCAUUUCACCCCAUCCCACUCCAUCCUGUACCAACCCCAUCCCGUCCCACUCCAUCCUAUACAACCCCAUCUCCUCUUACCCCAUCCUAUCCCACUCUAUCCUAUACAAUCCCACUCCACCCCAUUCACCCCCAUCCCAUCCAAC